rnacentral:rRNA from 1 species
UCUCAAAGAUUAAGCCAUGCAUGUCUAAGUAUAAACACCUUUAUACAGUGAAACUGCGAAUGGCUCAUUAAAUCAGUUAUAGUUUAUUUGAUAGUACCUCACUACAUGGAUAACCGUAGUAAUUCUAGAGCUAAUACAUGCGAAAAGACCCGACUUCUGGAAGGGUUGUAUUUAUUAGAUAAAAAACCAAUGCGGAGCAAUCCGGUUUUUGGUGAAUCAUAAUAACUUAACGGAUCGCAUGGCCUCGUGCCGGCGAUAGUUCAUUCAAAUUUCUGCCCUAUCAACUUUCGAUGGUACGGUAUUGGCCUACCAUGGUUACAACGGGUAACGGGGAAUA